AUAUGAGCUGCGACCGCAUGGUCNGCAGUUGGAAAGAUUUUUCGGUCUGGGAUGGGCUCACGGCCUAUCAGCUUGUUGGUGAGGUAAUGGCUCACCAAGGCGUCNNCGGGUAGCCGGCCUGAGAGGGUGACCGGCCACACUGGGACUGAGACACGGCCCAGACUCCUACGGGAGGCAGCAGUGGGGAAUAUUGCACAAUGGGCGAAAGCCUGAUGCAGCAACGCCGCGUGAGGGAUGACGGCCUUCGGGUUGUAAACCUCUUUUAGCAGGGAAGAAGCGAAAGUGACGGUACCUGCAGNAAAAGCGCCGGCUAACUACGUGCCAGCAG
rnacentral:rRNA from 1 species